CAGUCGCCACGGUAAUACGUAGGUGGCGAGCGUUGUCCGGAAUUAUUGGGCGUAAAGGGAGCGCAGGCGGGCGAGUAAGUCUUUCUUAAAAGUGCGGGGCUCAACCCCGUGAGGGGAGAGAAACUACUCAUCUUGAGUGCAGGAGAGGAAAGCGGAAUUCCUAGUGUAGCGGUGAAAUGCGUAGAUAUUAGGAAGAACACCAGUGGCGAAGGCGGCUUUCUGGACUGUAACUGACGCUGAGGCUCGAAAGCCAGGGGAGCGAACGGGAUUAGAUACCCGCGUAGUCCCUGUCUCUUAUACA
rnacentral:rRNA from 1 species